UACGUAGGGGGCAAGCGUUGUCCGGAUUUAUUGGGCGUAAAGAGCUCGUAGGCGGUUCCGUAAGUCGGGUGUGAAAAAUCUGGGCUCAACCCAGUGGAGCACCCGAUACUGCGGUGACUCGAGUCCGGUAGGGGAGUGUGGAAUUCCCGGUGUAGCGGUGAAAUGCGCAGAUAUCGGGAGGAACACCGGUGGCGAAGGCGGUUCUCUGGGCCUUACCUGACGCUGAGGAGCGAAAGCGUGGGGAGCGAACAGG
rnacentral:rRNA from 1 species